ensembl:lncRNA
AUGCCCUCCCGGAGGCGCGGACGGGCUGACAGACGCGGCCCUGCGGGCUCCAGGCUCCCAAACCCCGGCUGAGGCCGCUGAUUCCAGCUGUGUUACCGUCGGGUUGGUGCGCAGUGCUGCGAUAGAUCCUUCGGAAUUGCUCUGGCAGAUGAGAUCCAGCUACUUCCGUAUUCUCCCUUAGAGGCUCCAGAGGAAGGUGUGAGGUUGAUCAGCUUACACAACAGCGCAGCAGUGUGAGCUGUGCCUUGAUGGACAAGAGCAACACAGACUGCUCUGUGAGGACUGCUUUCCUGGAACAGCAGCAGCAGUGCACUGUCAGACCAAAGCUUUUCUCCUGUGAUGCAACAUUUCUAAGAAGUUCCUUUCGCCUCUCGGAUGGGAGCAGCCAGUCAUUCACUCCAACUCUUAAUUGCUGCUCUGCAAAAUCCCCAAAAGGAAUGUAACAACUUGUUUCUCACUGUGAAAAUGGGAGGUUCUCCACUGCAAGCUUUAAGCCUUCGGCUGAAUACCUGCUGAACAUCUGGCUUGGGAUCAAGGUUUGCUUUUAUGGUUGUCCAUGCCCUGCUACAACGGGUGGACACAUUGCUAGAUUAAUACUACCAACAGAAGCGGGGUGGAUAGACUCCCUUCCUUCCUCCUCUUACCCCCAGUAAAUGCAGCAGCUGCAGCCUGACAGAAC